rnacentral:rRNA from 1 species
AGGACGAACGCUGGCGGCGUGCUUAACACAUGCAAGUCGAACGGAAAGGCCCUUCGAGGUACUCGAGUGGCGAACGGGUGAGUAACACGUGGGUGAUCUGCCCCGCACUUUGGGAUAAGCCUGGGAAACUGGGUCUAAUACCGAAUAGGACCAUGGCAUGCAUGUGCUGUGGUGGAAAGCUUUUGCGGUGUGGGAUGGGCCCGCGGCCUAUCAGCUUGUUGGUGGGGUUAAGGCCUACCAAGGCGACGACGGGUAGCCGGCCUGAGAGGGUGUCCGGCCACACUGGGACUGAGAUACGGCCCAGACUCCUACGGGAGGCAGCAGUGGGGAAUAUUGCACAAUGGGCGCAAGCCUGAUGCAGCGACGCCGCGUGGGGAUGACGGCCUUCGGGUUGUAAACCCUUUCAGUAGGGACGAAGCGCAAGUGACGGUACCUACAGAAGAAGCACCGGCCAACUACGUGCCAGCAGCCGC